UACAGAGGGGGCAAGCGUUUAUUCGGAAUUAUUGGGCGUAAAGGGCGCGUAGGCGGCUUUGCAAGUGACGGGUGAAAUCCCUCGGCUUAACCGAGGAACUGCCUGUCAAACUGCAUGGCUUGAGACCGGGAGAGGUGAGUGGAAUUCCCAGUGUAGCGGUGAAAUGCGUAGAUAUUGGGAGGAACACCAGUGGCGAAGGCGGCUCACUGGACCGGUACUGACGCUGAUGCGCGAAAGCGUGGGGAGCAAACAGG
rnacentral:rRNA from 1 species